UGGGGAAUCUUGCGCAAUGGGCGAAAGCCUGACGCAGCAACGCCGCGUGAGGGACGAAGGCCUUCUGGGUUGUAAACCUCUUUCAGCAGGGACGAUAAUGACGGUACCUGCAGAAGAAGCCCCGGCCAACUACGUGCCAGCAGCCGCGGUAAUACGUAGGGGGCGAGCGUUGUCCGGAUUCAUUGGGCGUAAAGAGCUCGUAGGCGGCUUUGCAAGUCGGGUGUGAAACCUCCAGGCUUAACCUGGAGCCGCCACUCGAUACUGCAAUAGCUAGAGUCCGGUAGGGGACCAUGGAAUUCCUGGUGUAGCGGUGAAAUGCGCAGAUAUCAGGAGGAACACCAGUGGCGAAGGCGGUGGUCUGGGCCGGAACUGACGCUGAGGAGCGAAAGCGUGGGGAGCGAACAGGAUUAGAUACCCUGGUAGUCCACGCCGUAAACGUUGGGCACUAGGUGUGGGACCCUAUCGACGGGUUCCGUGCCGCAGCUAACGCAUUAAGUGCCCCGCCUGGGGAGUACGGCCGCAAGGCUA
rnacentral:rRNA from 1 species